rnacentral:lncRNA from 1 species
CAAAUAGGACAAAACUACUAUGGUAACAUAUGCUUGCAAAUGCAGAAAUUUAUUGCUCAACUGUCUAAAGAAAAUAACUUUUAAAACAUUUUUAAAUAUCUCAAAUGAAAUUUGAUGGUAUUUCAGAAUGACCACUACCUACUAGAUUGUGCAGAUGAGAUUUGAGGUGGAGAAAAAACUUAGCUGUGAAAUAUUAUGCUGUGUGAUUUUUUUUUAGGAAGAAUGAGUUCUGUAUCAUAAUAAGGUUUUAUUAGUUUAAUUCUUUGUUGAAACAAAAUGCAGUAUUGUAUUGGUACUCUCAGAAAUGGACUAGUAUUCUAGUCAUGAGUCCUCCGUCUCCUAACUGAUCUUCAAUAGAAUAGUCUUGAAAAGUCAGGUAAUUCACUGUCCUUGAACAAAACUGAAUAGAGCGAGCAGUCAGAUCACAUUGUUAUUCCCCCCAAAUACAAGGUCAGUGGGAGAUAUACGGUCAUUAUAUAGUUAUCUGCUGUAGGUUUGUUUGCCUAUGACAGCUUUUUUAAAAUGAGCUGCUGGUUAUAAGAAGCUAACAAAAUAUGACCAAGAAGCUGUGAUAUGCUAGUGUUCAUCUGCAUCAUAGUAUAUUGUUAGGCCAAAAUAAAAUGACCUUAUAAAUUUUUAUUAUGCUUUCAGAAAUUUAAAAUUGACAUUUCCAUAUGGUAUUUAAAAAAAAAAAUUUCUUUCUGCCCAUUUAAACUUCUCUUGCAGUACUGUAAGUUUGUGAUAAUCACAUGCACUUUCUGCCUGGGAACAUAUUCACAAUUCUAUUUAAGGGGACUUUUCCCAUACAACACUGUAAAUGUGUAUUCUCUGUAUAAAUUUGUGAAUUAAUCUUUAUCCCAUACAAAGAGUGGUACAAGGAUGACUAGUUUUCUAUGGUUUUCUUUUUAUUGUGAAUAAAAUAUAAAAUGGAGAGGCCCUCUGCUAAGCACCACAAAGUACAGAUAUGACUUCAUGUAAGUACAAAUAAGCCAGCUUGCAGUGAAUUGGGCCCUUCGGAUUACCUCAAGUGACACACAGUAAGAAAAGCUUCUUGAACAGGGGGUAGAGGUCACUGAAUCCCCUACUAUGCACUUAACAGGAUUUGACAUUACUUACUGGAAAUGGAUGUUUGUUUUUUGUUGUUUGGUUGUUGUUUUUUUUCUGAAUAUACUGUAACAAGGGAAGGAGUUGGGUUUUGUUGUUGUUGUUUUUUUUGUUUUGUUUUGUAGUAGCUAAAAUUCUGAAACUGUGAUCAACAAUUUAAAUAACUGUCAAGCACUCUCGGAUCUUGAAUAUAUUCACUUCCUGUUCCAUGUAGCAAAGUUCUCUUUAUUGUCUAUGUUAAAUUAUGUAAAAUCUCGCCCUAUUUCUGUCUCUUUACCUCAGUUUGAAGACUAGGCUACCUAUUUUUUUCAAUUAUUUCCAUCUCUGUGGUUCCCCCCCCCUCCCCUUUUGUUCAUUGGCUGUAUAGUCUGUUUACAUAUUUUUGUACUCAAGUGUAGUUUUAUAUUAAAAAGAAAAAAAAAGAAAAAUAGUAAAUUUAAUGAAAAAUAUUAAGGUACGUAGUCUUUGUAACACUUUCACUUUCACAAAUAGGGUACCUGAAAAUAUAACUCCAUAAAUUGUAAUUGGACCUAUGUUAUGCUUGCCUUUUUUGUUGGUUUUUACUUGCUGGUUGUCUUUCCCCCUCCUCCUUACCCCAAAUAUAAAUUGUUUCAUGAGACACUGGAAACUUUUCAUGCAAAUGUUUAGAAAGAUUUAAAAAUUGUAAAGUAAAAAGUCUUUAACUUUUUCUGUGGGAAGAAAAUGCUUUAAAAAAAUAUUGUUAUUGGUAUUGCAGGUUGGGGAUUUCCCUAGAUCCUCUUUUGCUUUUCAUAGUUGGACCUUUCCAAAAAUGCUGUUUGCAAAUUCACAAUGAUUGCUUAUGCUAGUCAGUUCACAAUAUCCUUUCAUUUUAUUUCUGUUCAAGUGCAAUACUUUCCAAGAAGUCUUAAAAAAAAUGGAGUCUACUUUUACCCCAUUUUUGACCUACACAUUCCUUAGUAACUAAGUCACAGUUUUUUAAACUUCAAGUUUAAAAACCUUCAAGUCACAGUAUUUUAAAGAACCAUAAUAAAUAUAUAAAAGCAAAAAAUUAAGAGAAAGCACUCAAUAGUGAAGAGGCUAUAGAAAUUAAGUGUGAAAGACACAGUCCUAAUUUCAAAAUAUAUUUAUUCAGACUGAAUUUUCCAUUUAAAUAUAUGGGACACUAGAUGAAUAAAUGGGCCUGAAAGUUGACAUUUUAAAAUUUAAAACUUAUUCUCUUACUUUGACUCUUGUCCAAUGUUACAAAUUAAAGAAUGCUUUUUUUUCUUUUUACAACAACUUUUUUAAAUGUAAAGAAAAGCACUUAACACAUUUAAAAAUAUAUAUAUAUAUAUAUAUAUACAUAUCGUCUCUGAGAGUACAGAAAAAUUUACUUGGAGCAAUCUCAUUCUCAUAAAUAUAAGUGAGGAUUAUUUUACAUAUCAUACAUAUUUAUAUGUAGUGUGCUGGGUUGAUUUUUUUUUUUUUUUUUUUUUUUGGUGUGUGUGUGUUUUUUACACCUGUUUCCCUGUAGAAAACUGCUCUUAUGUAAAUACAUGAUUAGUUAAAAGAUAAAUUCUGUGGCAUUUCUUUUAAAAUCAGUUUGCUACAUUUGUACAGUAGCCAUGUGUCUUGGCCAUUUUAGAUUUAUAUUUUCUUUUAACAAUACCAAAGGUAAUUAGACUAUGUUACAGACUAAUUGCUUGACAAAUUUCUAGGAUUUUUGAGUUUUAGAAGCAAAAAAAAAAAAAAUAGUUCAAACCAGUAAACCUCAUUUUUUCAAACUAAUUUGGAAAAAAAGAAAGCCUAUUGUUUAUAUAUAUUAUAUAUCUCUACGUCUAUGUAUGUAUGUACCAUAGAUGUAGACAUAUAUGUAUAGAUAUGGAUAUAUAUAUAUAUAUAUAUAUAUAUAUAUAUAUAUAUAUAUAUCCAUAUCUCAGACCUUGUCUGCCUGGCUUCUUCAGUUUGGGUGUCAUUUUAAAGACUUAAAUAUUUACCUCCAAAGAUGAGGUUUAUUAUGUAAGUUCAAAUAUAGCCUUUGCAGCCAUGUCACAAGUCACCCUCUUCUUUAUCCAGUUGAAGACCUCUGCUAAAAGGUUUUAUCACUGCAGACUGAAAUGUGGGAUUUGUAUUUUUCUUUACUUUGCUACACAUGCAUACAUGCUUUCUACAUGUAUGUGUGUACUGUAUAUGUGUAUGAGUGUUGUAUAUGCAUGUGUGAGUGUCUGUAUGUGUGUAAAACUAAAGAAUCUGCAGAAACUUUGUAAUACUUUGUGAAAAGGAUUAUAUUAUAAAGGUUUGUACUGUCUGAGUGCACAGCUACUGGAAUAAAUUUAGGGAAUCUCAGGAACAAGC